UGCUUUAUGUUUUGUUAUGUAAUGUAAGGUCUGCCCAAUGAUAAUAUUUAAUGGCCGCAGUAUUUUGACUGUGCUAAGGUAGCAUAAUCAAUUGUCUUUUAAUUGGAGUCUGGAAUGAAUGAUUUAAUGAAAAAUAAGCUGUCUUUUUAGGAUAGAUUGAACUUAGAGGCUAGGUGAAGAUUCUUAGAUGAAUAUAAAAGACGAGAAGACCCCAUAAAGUUUUAUAUUAUAGGUGAUUAUAAGCUUAAUUAUUCAUUUUUAAUAUUUUGUUGGGGCAACUGCGUAAUAAUAAAAACUUACGUUUUUGUAAAUAUUUAUUUUUAGAUUAUUUUAUGAUCCAUUAAUGUGAUUUGGAGACUAAAUUACUUUGGGGAUAACAGCGUAAUUUUUUUAUAGAGUUCCUAUCGAUGAAAAAGAUUGCGACCUCGAUGUUGGAUUAGGAUUCCCUUUUGGCGCAGAAGCUUAAAUUGGGUGGUCUGUUCGACCAUUGAAUUCCUACA
rnacentral:rRNA from 1 species